UCGGAUAUGGUGUAACGGCUAACAUUGCCGCCUCUCAAGAACACUCUAUUUAGUGAAGACGAGCGCGGCAGCUCGGGGUUCGAUUCCCCGUAUCCGAA